rnacentral:rRNA from 1 species
GCAUAUCAAUAAGCGGAGGAAAAGAAACCAACAGGGAUUGCCUCAGUAACGGCGAAGUGAAGCGGCAAGAAGCUCAAAUUUGAAAGCUGGCCCCCUCGGGGUCCGCGUUGUAAUUUGCAGAGGAKGCUUCGGGUGCAGCCCCCGUCUAAGUGCCCUGGAACGGGCCGUCAUAGAGGGUGAGAAUCCCGUCUGGGACGGGGUGUCUGCGUCCGUGUGAAGCUCCUUCGACGAGUCGAGUUGUUUGGGAAUGCAGCUCUAAAUGGGUGGUAAAUUUCAUCUAAAGCUAAAUACUGGCCGGAGACCGAUAGCGCACAAGUAGAGUGAUCGAAAGAUGAAAAGCACUUUGAAAAGAGAGUUAAACAGCACGUGAAAUUGUUGAAAGGGAAGCGUUUGCGACCAGACUCGCCCGCGGGGUUCAGCCGGCAUUCGUGCCGGUGUACUUCCCCGUGGGCGGGCCAGCGUCGGUUUGGGCGGCCGGUCAAAGGCCCUCGGAAUGUAUCACCCCUCGGGGUGUCUUAUAGCCGAGGGUGCAAUGCGGCCUGCCUGGACCGAGGAACGCGCUUCGGCUCGGACGCUGGCGUAAUGGUCGUAAAUGACCCGUCUUGAAACACGGACCAAGGAGUCUAACAUCUACGCGAGUGUUCGGGUGUCAAACCCGUACGCGCAGUGAAAGCGAACGGAGGUGGGAGCCCCCUCGUGGGGCGCACCAUCGACCGAUCCUGAUGUCUUCGGAUGGAUUUGAGUACGAGCGUAGCUGUGGGGACCCGAAAGAUGGUGAACUAUGCCUGAAUAGGGCGAAGCCAGAGGAAACUCUGGUGGAGGCUCGCAGCGGUUCUGACGUGCAAAUCGAUCGUCAAAUUUGGGUAUAGGGGCGAAAGACUAAUCGAACCAUCUAGUAGCUGGUCCUGC